rnacentral:rRNA from 1 species
GACUCGAGUGCCUGUAAAUGCAGGCUGUUCAGAUGCCUAAAACACAUCUGGAGAAAGGGCCGGGCAAGACCGGUGCCAGCCGCCGCGGUAAUACCGGCGGCUCGAGUGGUGGCCACUUUUAUUGGGCUUAAAGCGUUCGUAGCUGGGUUGUUAAGUCUCUUGGGAAAUCUGGCGGCUUAACCGUCAGGCGUCUAAGGGAUACUGGCAAUCUUGGAACCGGGAGAGGUGAGGGGUACUUCGGGGGUAGGAGUGAAAUCCUGUAAUCCUCGAGGGACCACCUGUGGCGAAGGCGCCUCACCAGAACGGCUUCGACAGUGAGGGACGAAAGCUGGGGGAGCAAACCGGAUUAGAUACCCGGGUAGUCCCAGCCGUAAACUAUGCGCGUUAGGUGUAUCGGUGACCACGAGUUACCGAGGUGCCGAAGGGAAACCGUGAAACGUGCCGCCUGGGAAGUACGGUCGCAAGGCUGAAACUUAAAGGAAUUGGCG